CAUGCACUCAUCACUUUUGUUUUUCCUCUCAAAGUGGCAGGUAGGUGGCUGGCAUUGCAUAAUGCUGGUUUCAUACUCUGAGUACAAAGUGAAAAAAUGAAGAAAGUUUAUUUCCACCUACUGUUUCUGCUCUUCUGUAUCUCUAAACCAUACUUCCUACCAGGCUGUUGUCAUGGACACUUGCUUCUUUAUCUCUUACAGUAUCGUGAUGCCCUUUACAAAUUCAUGGUGGACACUGCUGUGCUUUUAGGAGCUAAUAGCUCUCGAGCUGAACAUGACAUGAAGUCAGUGCUUAGACUGGAAAUUAAGAUAGCUGAGAUAAUGAUUCCACAUGAGAACCGAACCAGUGAGGCUAUGUAUAACAAAAUGAACAUCUCAGAGCUCAGUGCUAUGAUUCCCCAGUUUGACUGGCUGGGCUAUAUCAAGAAGGUCAUUGAUACCAGACUCUACCCACACUUGAAAGACAUUGGCCCCUCGGAGAAUGUGGUGGUGCGCGUCCCACAAUACUUUAAAGAUUUGUUUAGGAUAUUAGGUGCUGAAAGGAAGAAGUAAGAACUUUCAU
rnacentral:lncRNA from 1 species